rnacentral:lncRNA from 1 species
UCAUCAAUCAUCAUCUUAUAACUACAGGACUCCACUGUUCACCGGACCCCUCCAGAUGUCGUUGCCUUGGACACCAGCUUCAUGAGAUAGGCUUCAACAUGAUUCCUGAAAGAUCCACCCGGGACAGGAGAUCCAGAGAGAAAGAAUGAAGACAGGGCCCUGCAGCUGAUCC